GAGAGACCGACAACCCGUGAGAAGGGUUCGACCAAAACGCAGUUCUCCGGCCAUCUCUCAGCGGCGGACCACCGACGAUCACUCCCACUCCUUGGCGCCGACGUCCUCCUAGCGACGGAUCAUCCAAUCAGCGAUGGACGGGGACAAUAUAAGGCCGGAAAGCUUGAAACUUUUUUCGGCGAUUCUGGACAUUUUCCGGUGACUCCAUCGGCGAUUUGGCUUGCAUGGCAUACGAAAGUUGGUCUACUCCUCGUGCUCUACGUGGUAGUAGGAAGACUAGACGGUGGAAGCACUCGCCUGACAAACGUGAGGAAUUGUCUGGGUGGUGAAGAAAAGGGAAGGAGUUUUCCCGGUGCCAUGUUCUUCGUCAAGGGAUUAACUCACCGAUUUGGGGAUUCUGCUUUCGAUCGAAAUCGAUAUCAAGCAAAAGAGAGGUCAAGAUGAUGAGGACUGGUAGCUUUGUGGACUCAGGACUCAAGAUCUGGUUCUGGUUAAUUGCUUCUCAGUUGGUUCUGCUAUAAUUUUUGCUCGAGCUUUACAAUGAAUCAGUAUGUUCUUUUCUUGUUUUUAG
rnacentral:lncRNA from 1 species